rnacentral:rRNA from 1 species
AGCGAACGCUGGCGGCAGGCCUAACACAUGCAAGUCGAACGAAGUCUUCGGACUUAGUGGCGGACGGGUGAGUAACACGUGGGAACGUGCCUUUAGGUUCGGAAUAACUCAGGGAAACUUGUGCUAAUACCGACUUUGCCCUUCGGGGGGAAGAUUUAUCGCCUUUAGAGCGGCCCGCGUCUGAUUAGCUAGUUGGUGAGGUAAAGGCUCACCAAGGCUACGAUCAGUAGCUGGUCUGAGAGGAUGACCAGCCACAUUGGGACUGAGACACGGCCCAAACUCCUACGGGAGGCAGCAGUGGGGAAUCUUGCGCAAUGGGCGAAAGCCUGACGCAGCCAUGCCGCGUGGAUGAUGAAGGUCUUAGGAUUGUAAAAUCCUUUCACCGGUGAAGAUAAUGACUGUAGCCGGAGAAGAAGCCCCGGCUAACUUCGUGCCAGCCGCCGCCGUAAUAC